rnacentral:lncRNA from 1 species
GAUUCUAUAAUUUUGUUUCAACUUUGAAUCCAAUUCUCCUUUUACAGUAUCCCAUAAAAAUGGAGCAUAUUAGAGAUGGAAAAUGAUAUAGCAUGUAAUUUCAUUGAUUUGUUAAUGAGUAGGUAAAACAAUAAAAAUAAAGAAAUAUAAAAAAAAGUGUGUUAAAAAUCUUUUAGAAAAAAAAACACUCAUUCAACAGGAGCCAUAAUGGCAACAGGAACGACAAUAGGAGCAUGCAAAAAUAGAUCUUCUACGAUCUCUUCAUCUUAAGAAACACAACAAUGUUCUACAUUAAAAGCCUUUGACAUACCUUAAUCAGGUACCUGCAAUAAAAAAACAAAAAGAUGUGUAAAAAUUAUGGUUCAAAAUACUUUUGAAGACCACAAAAAGGACAACAUUAUGGACUAAAAGAAAUGUUAUUAUUUUUUAAUAGAAACAAUUAUGGGGAUAGUUUUGUCAAUAAUAAACAAACAUUAUAAAUUAACAACAAAUUAUUAAUGAAAAUAAACUACCUUCAACAUAUGAUUAGGGUCGUCCUGCUCUUUCUGUUACCCACACUUUAAUUAAGUUCUUCGUAUAACCUACAAGAAACAGAUGUCAAAUAAGUAAGAUAAGUAAAAUCCAUCAAACCAAUGUUUAUCACUUCUAAAAAAGUAGAAAACCUAAUAACUCCAUCUGCAAGGAAAUCAUUCCCAACACAUCAAGAAAUAGAUUAGUUUUUAGAUUCAAAUUUAGAGAAAAAGAGACAGAAUAAACUUUGAAUCAUAAAAAUACCAACAUAUUGUUCAACACCAACACAAUGAAGAUCAAAUGAAUCCUCCUUGGAAUAAAGCUACUUCAUCUUAUUUAGUGGUGUGGUCCACCCUAAACAUCUAUGACCAUCUGGAGCUUUUCAAUAAAGUCAUAUGCACCUUCAUUGGGGCUUUAUUCCACCAGAACAAAAAGUAUAUCCAAGAAACUGAACUACUAAAACAAAAAUAAAAAAUAAAAAAUAAAAAUGACUCAUUCCUCGUAAAAUAAACCAAGACAUUUAUCAAACAGUUUGUAUGCAUAAUGUUAUCCCAAAAAUUGGUUCCACACAAUACAAUAUGUUGGGGCAUAAAGACCCAGAGAUAGAUUUGUGUUCCUUCGUUAAUCCUCUCUGUAAAAACAAUGUUGUAACAGAAAGCCUAGACUAAAAAAAUAAACAGCCCCUUAGAUUCAGCUUCAGCAAAGUAGUAAAAAAAAUAUCUCCAUUUUGAUUCAUGAAUGGAGAUGUAGUCUCUCUAAUUGCUUCAUGAGACAUGUUGGAAAUGGUAGCCCAAUCAGACCAAAACAACAAUAAGGAAACUUAAUUAUCUCUUCCAUGCCCCAAAACUUUUGUGAUGUUAUAUAAUAAAGGCUAUAUUUUUCAACAUCUGUAUUUCUCUUUACCAUGAUGUAUAUGAGUUAUCAAUCUUCAUGCUCUUUACCAGAAUCUGUAAACGUGGCAGAGUAAGUCCAUCCAGAUUGAUAGGCUUUAAAGCUGGCUUUGCAUAAGAAUUGUCACUUCUAGUAGUUUUAGGAGCACAUGUUGGAUAUAGAGAACUAAUAAUUAAGCUUCACUAAGGUAAAAUAGAAAAGAUAAAAAGAGUUGGAGAUCUGCCUUCAAUAUUCCUGUCUAAACUGGCAGUCAUUUUGAAAAAUUGAUACGCUAUAAUUACUUGCCUGCAAGGUACACAGUGAAACACAUAAGAAUCGAGACAUAAAUUGUAUUUCUAGUGGCAAAUAAGCACUAUUACUUUUGAAGCUAUACAUGCAUUACAAAAAGCAAACAGUCUUAACAUAGUAGAUGUAAAAAUUCCAGUUUACCCAUAAAGUUCAAACCUGUGAUGUAGUUGAAGCCAACAAAGAUGAGAUUCAUGAAAACCUGCUCAAAUAAACAUUUUAAUAUUAAGAUAUUUCUUACUAUGGAAAAUGGUGAAAAUUCAUGGAAAUAAAAAGAACUCCAUAUGGAAAAAAAAAACACAUAGAUCUAGAUGCAACGUGAAGAUUUGUGAUCAGGGACAUUUCCAAUCACCCAAUACCUCAACUUCUAAAUUAUGAGAGGAUUCUGUCAAGACCUAAUCACAAAAUUUAUAAACAUAAACAAAAAUAAGAGGAAGAUAAACAAUUAUAUGGGUUUAAAAUCAUACAUCUUGUUUGUAUAAUAUUUGCAAAUCCGGUGAAUGUGGUGCCUAGGGUAUAAUAGUGUCAACUAUUGGAACCCACGAGAACAUUGUGCUAAUUUUAGAACUUACUGAUAUAGAUUGGCACUGUCCAGAUUAUGAAGGCGGAUGAGGGGAGAAACAAUUGGAUUCAACAUAAAUCGAUCAAGGAUUAAAGGGGGACGAGUGUUUUUUAAAAUGAUUGGGAGGAUGAAAGGAUACAAUGAGAUUGAGAGAGAAAGGCUACGUAUAUGCUAAAUGGAAUUGAAUCUAUAAUUCGAGAUGGGAAUAAAUAACAACAACAAUUUGUAGAUUUUGCAUCUUCGAUUGCAUAUGGGAAAGUAAAAUACAAAAAUCUGAACCUGGAAAAUCUAGCCGUGUUGAUCAAGCCCUAAUCACAAAAAUAAGAACAAAUUAGAGAUACAUAAGAAAUGGAGAAAUUAACACAUUGUUAUAGGAGAGAGAGAGAGAGAGAGAGAGAGAGAGAGAGAGAGAGAGACCGCUCAAGAACAAUCGAAAUCGUUGAUAUCCUUUUUUGGAAGGAGUUAUCAGGGUGACCUUCAAUUCACGUUGUAAGCUACAAACUAAAUACCACCAAAUGUUAACUAAUAAGUGUAAAUAGGAUGAAAAUGUUGACGUAAAGCAGAUAUCAGAGCAAGCAACCCAAGCGAUAAACUCUUAAAUACUCUAGCAGCAAGAUUUUGAGGAUUUACAGAUAGUGGAUCGGUGAUGACGAUGGGUAUGGCGAACCCUAGGACAUCAGUGAUGGUGGCUGAUGUUUGGAUGAUGGGUGAUGUCGUGAAGGUCUCGAUUGGUUAUAAUGGCAACGAAGAUCGAGUUUGGGUAGGGUUUAUGGAUCUCGGAUUAAACGAUUCAAUUGGGUGAAGAUGAAGAGCAAGUCAAUAUAUGCAGAAUUUAAGAUAUUUGGUGAAGCGUAUUUGGAUGAGAAGACUUUCAAAUUUUGAAUGAACCCUGAAUUAAGGGAAGAAGAUCAGAUUUAUAAGGAUUAAAAAACAUGGUUAAAAUUUAAUAUUAUUUUAUUAAUGGUCACUUGUACCAGUAGCUUAAUGGUUUGGACGUUUUAAAAAAUAAUAUUUUUAUAUUUAAUCUAUUUUUAGAAAUAGUUAGAUUUUUUUUAUAAGAUAGUAUAUAUAUAUAAAAUUCAAAAUAAUCAAUAUAUUAUAUCAAUUUAGUAUAUAUGAAUCAUUAUAUCAAAUUUAACAACAACGUUAUUGUUAUAUUUUAAAAAACAUAUAUUUGUAAAAACUUCAACUAUAUAGGUGUUUCUUUGCAACGCACGAACAUUCGUCUAGUUAUAAUAUAAACUCGACACAAAACUAUAAGAUAUAUGGUUAAAACAAGGCUAACAAAAGUUUGCAAUAACAAAUUCAACGUCAACCAGAAGGAUUUCCCCCACGUUGCGAGGGUCGGAAGGUGUC